GAUGAAGAACGCAGCGAAAUGCGAUAAGUAAUGUAAAUUGCAGAAUUCAGUGAAUCAUCGAAUCUUUGAACGCACAUUGCGCCCCCUGGUAUUCCGGGAGGCAUGCCUGUCCGAGCGUCAUUACAACCCUCAAGCUCAGCUUGGUGUUGGGCCCCGCCGCCCCGGCGGGCCCUAAAGUCAGUGGCGGUGCCGUCCGGCUCCGAGCGUAGUAAUUCUUCUCGCUCUGGAGGUCCGGUCGUGUGCUCGCCAGCAACCCCCAAUUUUUUUCAGGUUGACCUCGGAUCAGGUAGGGAUACCCGCUGAACUUAAGCAUAUCAAUAAGCGGAGGA
rnacentral:misc_RNA from 1 species